rnacentral:lncRNA from 1 species
CUGAUUCUAACAAAAGCUAAUGCUGUAGUGUUUCAGGUUUCACUCUAUCUUUUCAAUACAAAGGCGAGGGGCUCAAACUAUUCUGACCAUGUCAAAAACAUUCUUCUAGACCUGUUGAGGACAAUUGAAGAAAUACGCAACAUCCAUGUGGAAAGAUAAUUCAAUAAAGCAAGAAAUCCUAUAGUUGAGGCCCAUAUGAAGUUCACAGAAUUUUUAGGAAACGAUCAGAGUUUUAGCCCCUCCCAUUUGAGCUUACUGUGAAGCCUUGGUUGUUGGGAGUCAACUGGAUGCAUCACUCCUUCAAAUACGUGUUAAAAUUGUUCCCCACAAUAAUUCCUUCUAUACUGUUGCAUAAAAUUUGUUACAGUAAUAAUGAAGUGGACAUCUGUGGAAGUGUGUGCUGCCAAGAUAAAUAAUAACAUAGCUCAUAGUGCGUAGAAAAAAACUCUAUAGCAGAAAACAAAACAUACAUUCCAUAUUACUGAAUGAGGUCGAAACUAUAAGCCCAAUAAACCACAACCUCAUGCUGUCAGAGCCACCUCCACACCAUACGCUAAUGGCUUAUCUCAAGCUAAUGCAUCAGAUGCA